AUUUCGAAAAAAAAGUAGUGAUUAUUCAUGUUGAAGUAUGAUCAGGUUUGUAGAUUGUCUGAAACUGAAAGUGAAACUAAAAUGUAGUUCAUCGUACCAACAAGCUCGAUUAAAUUUCUCAGGUGUUAAUUUUACAUAGAUUUCUACGUGUGCUUCUUUACAGAUUGAGGUGUGGUACAGCAAAUCGUGUCAUUUUUUAAAUCGUGUUUUGUCAAUUUGAAAUCAGCGUUUUCAUUGUGAAUUAAGGAAAUAUGCAAGGCGGAGACGAAGAAGACGUAGGUUUUGGGUGCAGAGAAAAAGAAGAAUUAAAAAGGACAUCAAAGACUGAAAUUAAAGCAAAAAGUUCUAAAAGUAUUUUAUCAGGAGCUUAUGAUGAUGAAGUUUAUUCAAUGCAGA